GCAGCCUGGCAAAGAAUCAAAUGAUAAAGUCAAAAGCAGGUAAAAUGCUAAACUCAGAUGCUUUUGAAGGACAGAUGAAUUAACAUGAUAAAUAAAUGAAAAUGUCCUAUGUUACUCAGUAAUGCAGUCAGCUGUAUUUAAGAUUACUCAAAAACCACAUCACACAGCAAAUGCAAGAAGCUUGAAAUGGCAUGAGCAGCUGGGCUGGAGACGGAGACAGGAGGGAUGUGACUGCCAGGCAAUCUGCUCUGAAGAGAGAAGGCCAUAUUCAGACAUCUGAUGAAAAAGGCCCAUGGAGCUGUGCUGCUUUCUGUGUUUCUUCCAACAACGACUCAAGUCUAUGUCUGAUAGCCCCAGCCCAGUAAGGAGCUGUUUUCCUCCACAGUGAAAAGAUGAUUUUCAUCUUCACUCUAGGAAACCUCAAAGGUAGAUAUCUUCACCAUUACAAGAACAGUUAUAUUUAUAAUUCAAGCUGAGUUGUGAAUCCACUUUGCACUACUUGGGCUUUAAAGAUGGUAAAACUGAACUCCAUUCUAAUUUGAAAGUACCUGUAAAUAAACAUUUUUUCCUACAGCACACACAGCACUGGUCAUUGCUAAUUGUGUCCCUACCAGCUUCUAUAACAAUGGAUUUUGGACUCUUCUAAUUUUUAAAAUGUAGGUCCUAGAAUACACUUAUCAUUUUAAUUCAACAUGUAGGAAAACAAAUGGAUUUCGAGGCUCAGAAGUUCAGUGUUCAAACCCAAUGCCCAGACUUACACUUGGGUGACAUCACUGUGAUCAGCCACAUGUGGGAACUAAACAGCCUCUUCCAGAGCAGAGGUCUGGAGAGAUCAUGAUAGAGUCAGCAAUGGUUCUCACAUACCCUCUGAGCACUCACAAACAGCUUGUGAAUGAUCCUGCCAGCAUGUCCUCUUCCUGCACCGGUGACCAACACUUCAGGCUGCUCCAGCAGGCAACUGACAAACCUAGGAGAGACAGACAGCCAAUGAAAGGGUGGAAAUGAGCUGUCCAGGCCACUUUGCAUCCAUCCAUCCUCCCACAGGAGUUUUGUGGACAAAUCCUCCAGCUCAUACUGGCUAGACCCACCAAGGUUGGAGUGAAAUUUUACAGCAAGAUAGACUGACAUUUGGAAUUAAUAUCCACUCAAUUGAAAAUCUUCCUGGUUUUUCACCUGUGUUCAUAAAAAUUUUUUCAAGCCUAUCUCUGUCAAAGUGUAAGAAAAAAUAUUCAGUCUAAUUUUUUAGACUAGAAGCUUAGAAAAUGCUACAGUUAAUAAAAGAUGAAAAGAAAUUUGGAUAACAUAAACUAAGUUAUAUUUAUCCAAUAAAAGCAAUGAUCCAUA